CGUGGGUGGAUCUGCCACUGCACUUCGGGAUAAGCUUGGGAAACUGGGUCUAAUACCGGAUAGGACCACACUUUAGUGUGUGUGGUGGAAAGUUUUUUCGGUGUAGGAUGAGCUCGCGGCCUAUCAGCUUGUUGGUGGGGUAAUGGCCUACCAAGGCGGCGACGGGUAGCCGGCCUGAGAGGGUGUACGGCCACAUUGGGACUGAGAUACGGCCCAG
rnacentral:rRNA from 1 species